rnacentral:rRNA from 1 species
AUGGCCGGUCCACCGCGGAGCCUGGUACAGAAAAUUGUUGAAGCUGUGCGCAACAUCAGAGAAGCAUUGGAGACGGAUACAAAGGUGGUGGGCGAGCCGGCGAUGCGGGGUACCCUGGAGAAGCUCCUCGUGACCUUCUCCCAUGCCCACGCGCUUGUCACCUCUUGUCAAAGAAGGUGCCUCAACAUCGUGUGCCUUUCUAGCCCGCCUGGUCGACUGUCCAGACAGUUACACGAGGUGUUGGAUCAGAUGGUGUCUAACAUCGAUGACAUGACGGACAGCAUCCUAAAAUGUAAGCGGAGUACCGUCCGGAUGGGACAAUCGAAAGAGCUUGAAAGGCAGGUGGAGAUUCAAUGUUUAAGCAGCAUUUGCCCUUUUGGCCCCCUCAACAAUCUAUGUCAAGCUCAGCCACCGCGUCCAAGGUCAAUCCUAAGGUGUAGAAAGCUUUCAAUGAGGAAGUUUGUUGUUCAAACCAUUAGUCGGCUCCCUGCAGACGAUCCCAGGGAUCCUCCCGACACUCGCGGUGAACUAGGCCCGAUUGUGCCCUGCUGUCGUGGGACUAGCACGGGCGCAUGCACCAACGAAAGCUGGAAGAGCAACCUGGAGGCACAUAACCUGACUUCGGUUUCUAUGGCAACUAGCCUUAGUGUGCUCCUUGAGCCCUCCCUUCACCGCCCGUUCGGUCCCCUUUCCCCAUUUCUCGCGGCCACGGUGUAUGGCGGAUCUUCUGGCCGAAGGGUGACUGUUAGGAGCUCCGACAUGGAGGCAAGUGCGAUGUCGCCUCCUUUCCUUCCUCCCGGCAUGAAUGCCAAAAGGAAGGCACCUUCGCUUCAGGCUAGUCCUUCCUCGGUGCGGAUUUUUGUAACCUGGGUCUACCAUUUAGCGAAAAAGAUUUAA